AUACAGAGGGUGCGAGCGUUAAUCGGAAUUACUGGGCGUAAAGCGCGCGUAGGCGGCUUAUUAAGUCAGAUGAGAAAUCCCCGGGCUCAACCUGGGAACUGCAUCUGAUACUGGUAAGCUAGAGUUUUGGAGAGGGAAGUAGAAUUUCAGGUGUAGCGGUGAAAUGCAUAGAGAUCUGAAGGAAUACCAGUGGCGAAGGCGGCUUCCUGGCCUAAAACUGACGCUGAGGUGCGAAAGCGUGGGUAGCAAACGGGAUUAGAAACCCCGGUAGUCC
rnacentral:rRNA from 1 species